UGCCUGUGAUAAAGAAAAAUGUAUGAGUAGUGGACAGAAGUGGUUUCUGAGAACUUAAAUCUGAGGCA